rnacentral:rRNA from 1 species
GUAGGGAAUAUUGGACAAUGGGCGAAAGCCUGAUCCAGCCAUGCCGCGUGUGUGAAGAAGGUCUUCGGAUUGUAAAGCACUUUAAGUUGGGAGGAAGGGCAGUAAGUUAAUACCUUGCUGUUUUGACGUUACCGACAGAAUAAGCACCGGCUAACUUCGUGCCAGCAGCCGCGGUAAUACGAAGGGUGCAAGCGUUAAUCGGAAUUACUGGGCGUAAAGCGCGCGUAGGUGGUUUUGUAAGUUGGAGUUGAAAUCCCCGGGCUCAACCUGGGAACUGCCUCCAAAACUGCAUGACUAGAGUACGGUAGAGGGUAGUGGAAUUUCCUGUGUAGCGGUGAAAUGCGUAGAUAUAGGAAGGAACACCAGUGGCGAAGGCGACUACCUGGACUGAUACUGACACUGAGGUGCGAAAGCGUGGGGAGCAAACAGGAUUAGAUACCCCUGUAGUCC